rnacentral:misc_RNA from 1 species
CCUCCUUUCUAAGGAAAUCGAAAAAUAUUAAAUCAAUUAUUUUCGAUUUAAAAAAAACCGGUAAUGUGACCGUCCUCAUUUCUCUUCUUUAAUAAUGUCUCUGAGUAAAAAUGUAGGGGCCGGUAGCUCAGUUGGUUAGAGCGCACCCCUGAUAAGGGUGAGGUCGGAAGUUCGAGUCUUCCUCGGCCCACCAAUAUUAUGGGGGAUUAGCUCAGCUGGGAGAGCGCCUGAUUUGCAUUCAGGAGGUCAGCGGUUCGAUCCCGCUAUCCUCCACCAACUAAUUGAGACAUUCAGCUUUUUUAAAUUGUGAAUAUUAUUAAUAUUAUCAAUAUCUAUAUCCGAUUGUUUUCAUAUGUUUUUUUGAAAACAAUCAAAACAAAAAUUUGAAUUUUACACAGAAAGUUUUUUUCUGUGCAUAAAUCAAGCGUUUAAGGGCGAUUGGCGGAUGCCUUGGCACUGUAAGACGAUGAAGGACGUGGUAUACUGCGAUAAGUUUCGGGGAGCUGUAUGCAAGCUUUGAUCCGAAGAUUCCGAAUGGGGAAACCAAGGCG